rnacentral:rRNA from 1 species
AGAGUUUGAUCCUGGCUCAGGAUGAACGCUGGCGGCGUGCCUAACACAUGCAAGUCGAACGGGGCUGUUGCGGAAGGCUGGUGCUUGCACUGGCCGGAAGCGGCAGCCUAGUGGCGGACGGGUGAGUAACGCGUGGGCAACCUGCCCUGCACAGGGGGAUAACACCUGGAAACAGGUGCUAAUACCGCAUAAGCGCACAGCUUCGCAUGAAGCAGUGUGAAAAACUCCGGUGGUAUACGAUGGAUCCGCGUCUGAUUAGCUGGUUGGCGGGGUAACAGCCCACCAAGGCGACGAUCAGUAGCCGGCCUGAGAGGGUGAACGGCCACAUUGGGACUGAGACACGGCCCAAACUCCUACGGGAGGCAGCAGUGGGGAAUAUUGCACAAUGGGGGAAACCCUGAUGCAGCGACGCCGCGUGGGUGAAGGAGCACCUCGGUGCGUAAAGCUCUAUCAGCAGGGAAGAAAAUGACGGUACCUGACUAAGAAGCCCCGGCUAACUACGUGCCAGCAGCCGCGGUAAUACGUAGGGGGCAAGCGUUAUCCGGAUUUACUGGGUGUAAAGGGAGCGUAGACGGCAGCGCAAGUCUGAAGUGAAAUCCCAUGGCUUAACCAUGGAGCUGCUUUGGAAACUGUGCAGCUGGAGUGCAGGAGAGGUAAGCGGAAUUCCUAGUGUAGCGGUGAAAUGCGUAGAUAUUAGGAGGAACACCAGUGGCGAAGGCGGCUUACUGGACUGUAACUGACGUUGAGGCUCGAAAGCGUGGGGAGCAAACAGGAUUAGAUACCCUGGUAGUCCACGCCGUAAACGAUGAUUACUAGGUUGUUGGGGGACCCAAGGGCCUUCCGGGGCCGGCGCAAACCCAUUAAUUACUCCUCCUGGGGGAGUACGUUCGCGAGACUGAAGCUCAAAGGAAUUGUCGGGGACCCGCCCACGCGGUGGAGCAUGUGGUUUAAUUCGAAGCAACGCGAAGAACCUUAUCCGCCCUUGACAUCUUCUCGGCAGCCCGGUAAUGCAGGCCUUUCUUACGGGACAGCAGAGACAUGUGGUGCAAGGUUGUCGUCCGGUUGUGUCGUGAGAUGUUGGGUUAAGUCCCGCAAGGAGGGCAACCCCUCCUGACAGUAGGCAGCAGCAAGGAGGGGGCAGUCUGUAAGGCCAGCGGGGGGUACCCCGGGGAAGGGGGGGGAGGACGUCAAAUCAUCACGCCCCCUAUAGGGUGGGCUGCACACGUGUGCCAAAGUCGCCCACAGAGUGAGGCGAAUGUGCGCGGGGGAGCGAAGCUCAAAAAAGGCGUCCCAGUUCGGAUAACAGCC